rnacentral:rRNA from 1 species
GGAUUAGAUACCCUGGUAGUCCACGCCGUAAACGAUGUCUACUAGCCGUUGGGAUCCUUGAGAUCUUAGUGGCGCAGCUAACGCACUAAGUAGACCGCCUGGGGAGUACGGUCGCAAGAUUAAAACUCAAAUGAAUUGACGGGGGCCCGCACAAGCGGUGGAGCAUGUGGUUUAAUUCGAUGCAACGCGAAGAACCUUACCUACACUUGACAUGCAGAGAACUUUCCAGAGAUGGAUUGGUGCCUUCGGGAACUCUGACACAGGUGCUGCAUGGCUGUCGUCAGCUCGUGUCG